GCCCACUCUGCUUUGAUGCUU
rnacentral:miRNA from 1 species